GAAGGUGUGCUUGGAAA
rnacentral:rRNA from 1 species